rnacentral:rRNA from 1 species
AUAAUGGGUCAGCGACUUAUAUUCUGUAGCAAGGUUAACCGAAUAGGGGAGCCGAAGGGAAACCGAGUCUUAACUGGGCGUUAAGUUGCAGGGUAUAGACCCGAAACCCGGUGAUCUAGCCAUGGGCAGGUUGAAGGUUGGGUAACACUAACUGGAGGACCGAACCGACUAAUGUUGAAAAAUUAGCGGAUGACUUGUGGCUGGGGGUGAAAGGCCAAUCAAACCGGGAGAUAGCUGGUUCUCCCCGAAAGCUAUUUAGGUAGCGCCUCGUGAAUUCAUCUCCGGGGGUAGAGCACUGUUUCGGCAAGGGGGUCAUCCCGACUUACCAACCCGAUGCAAACUGCGAAUACCGGAGAAUGUUAUCACGGGAGACACACGGCGGGUGCUAACGUCCGUCGUGAAGAGGGAAACAACCCAGACCGCCAGCUAAGGUCCCAAAGUCAUGGUUAAGUGGGAAACGAUGUGGGAAGGCCCAGACAGCCAGGAUGUUGGCUUAGAAGCAGCCAUCAUUUAAAGAAAGCGUAAUAGCUCACUGGUCGAGUCGGCCUGCGCGGAAGAUGUAACGGGGCUAAACCAUGCACCGAAGCUGCGGCAGCGACGCUGAUGCGUUGUUGGGUAGGGGAGCGUUCUGUAAGCCUGCGAAGGUGUGCUGUGAGGCAUGCUGGAGGUAUCAGAAGUGCGAAUGCUGACAUAAGUAACGAUAAAGCGGGUGAAAAGCCCGCUCGCCGGAAGACCAAGGGUUCCUGUCCAACGUUAAUCGGGGCAGGGUGAGUCGACCCCUAAGGCGAGGCCGAAAGGCGUAGUCGAUGGGAAACAGGUUAAUAUUCCUGUACUUGGUGUUACUGCGAAGGGGGGACGGAGAAGGCUAUGUUGGCCGGGCGACGGUUGUCCCGGUUUAAGCGUGUAGGCUGGUUUUCCAGGCAAAUCCGGAAAAUCAAGGCUGAGGCGUGAUGACGAGGCACUACGGUGCUGAAGCAACAAAUGCCCUGCUUCCAGGAAAAGCCUCUAAGCAUCAGGUAACAUCAAAUCGUACCCCAAACCGACACAGGUGGUCAGGUAGAGAAUACCAAGGCGCUUGAGAGAACUCGGGUGAAGGAACUAGGCAAAAUGGUGCCGUAACUUCGGGAGAAGGCACGCUGAUAUGUAGGUGAAGUCCCUCGCGGAUGGAGCUGAAAUCAGUCGAAGAUACCAGCUGGCUGCAACUGUUUAUUAAAAACACAGCACUGUGCAAACACGAAAGUGGACGUAUACGGUGUGACGCCUGCCCGGUGCCGGAAGGUUAAUUGAUGGGGUCAGCGCAAGCGAAGCUCUUGAUCGAAGCCCCGGUAAACGGCGGCCGUAACUAUAACGGUCCUAAGGUAGCGAAAUUCCUUGUCGGGUAAGUUCCGACCU